UACGAAGGGGGCGAGCGUUGUUCGGAAUUACUGGGCGUAAAGGGCGCGUAGGCGGCCGAUCAAGUCAGAUGUGAAAGUCCUGGGCUUAACCUGGGGACUGCAUUUGAUACUGAUUGGCUUGAAUGCAGGAGAGGAUAGCGGAAUUCCCAGUGUAGAGGUGAAAUUCGUAGAUAUUGGGAAGAACACCGGUGGCGAAGGCGGCUAUCUGGACUGUAAUUGACGCUGAGGCGCGAAAGCGUGGGGAGCAAACAGG
rnacentral:rRNA from 1 species